CGGGUUGCGGACAGUGUCUGGUGGGUAGUUUGACUGGGGCGGUCUCCUCCUAAAGAGUAACGGAGGAGCACGAAGGUUGGCUAAUCCUGGUCGGACAUCAGGAGGUUAGUGCAAUGGCAUAAGCCAGCUUGACUGCGAGCGUGACGGCGCGAGCAGGUGCGAAAGCAGGUCAUAGUGAUCCGGUGGUUCUGAAUGGAAGGGCCAUCGCUCAACGGAUAAAAGGUACUCCGGGGAUAACAGGCUGAUACCGCCCAAGAGUUCAUAUCGACGGCGGUGUUUGGCACCUCGAUGUCGGCUCAUCACAUCCUGGGGCUGAAGUAGGUCCCAAGGGUAUGGCUGUUCGCCAUUUAAAGUGGUACGCGAGCUGGGUUUAGAACGUCGUGAGACAGUUCGGUCCCUAUCUGCCGUGGGCGCUGGAGAAUUGAGGGGGGCUGCUCCUAGUACGAGAGGACCGGAGUGGACGCAUCACUGGUGUUCGGGUUGUCAUGCCAAUGGCACUGCCCGGUAGCUAAAUGCGGAAGAGAUAAGUGCUGAAAGCAUCUAAGCACGAAACUUGCCCCGAGAUGAGUUCUCCCUGACUCCUUGAGAGUCCUGAAGGAACGUUGAAGACGACGACGUUGAUAGGCCGGGUGUGUAAGCGCAGCGAUGCGUUGAGCUAACCGGUACUAAUGAACCGUGAGGCUUAACCUUACAACGCCGAAG
rnacentral:rRNA from 1 species